rnacentral:rRNA from 1 species
GAUGAACGCUAGCGGGAGGCUUAACACAUGCAAGUCGAGGGGCAGCACGUCUUCGGAUGGUGGCGACCGGCGAACGGGUGCGUAACGCGUAUGCAACCUACCCUUAACAGGAGAAUAGCCCAGAGAAAUUUGGAUUAAUACUCCAUAGUAUUACAGAUUCGCAUGUUUCUGUAAUUAAAGUUCCAACGGUUAAGGAUGGGCAUGCGUGACAUUAGCUUGUUGGUGAGGUAACGGCUCACCAAGGCAACGAUGUCUAGGGGUUCUGAGAGGAUGAUCCCCCACACUGGUACUGAGACACGGACCAGACUCCUACGGGAGGCAGCAGUGAGGAAUAUUGGACAAUGGACGCAAGUCUGAUCCAGCCAUGCCGCGUGAGGAUUAAGGUCCUCUGGAUUGUAAACUUCUUUUAUAAGGGCGAAAAAAGGUCUUUCUAGAUCGUCUGACGGUACCUUAUGAAUAAGCACCGGCUAACUCCGUGCCAGCAGCCGCGGUAAAGUACAGU